rnacentral:rRNA from 1 species
UACGAAGGGGGCUAGCGUUGUUCGGAUUUACUGGGCGUAAAGCGCACGUAGGCGGCUUGUUAAGUCAGGGGUGAAAUCCUGGAGCUCAACUCAAGAAAUGCACUCGGUACUGGGUGACUAGAGGACCGGAGAGGAUAGUGGAAUUCCCAGUGUAGUGGUGAAAUACGUAGAGAUUGGGAAGAACACCAGUGGCGAAGGCGGCUCACUGGCUCAUACUGGACGCUGAGGUGCGAAAGCGUGGGGAGCAAACAGG